GCAAGUCGAACGGUGAAGCCCAGCUUGCUGGGUGGAUCAGUGGCGAACGGGUGAGUAACACGUGAGCAACCUGCCCCUGACUCUGGGAUAAGCGCUGGAAACGGCGUCUAAUACUGGAUAUGUACCACGAUCGCAUGGUCUGUGGUUGGAAAGAUUUUUCGGUUGGGGAUGGGCUCGCGGCCUAUCAGCUUGUUGGUGAGGUAAUGGCUCACCAAGGCGUCGACGGGUAGCCGGCCUGAGAGGGUGACCGGCCACACUGGGACUGAGACACGGCCCAGACUCCUACGGGAGGCAGCAGUGGGGAAUAUUGCACAAUGGGCGCAAGCCUGAUGCAGCAACGCCGCGUGAGGGAUGACGGCCUUCGGGUUGUAAACCUCUUUUAGCAGGGAAGAAGCGAAAGUGACGGUACCUGCAGAAAAAGCGCCGGCUAACUACGUGCCAGCAGCCGCGGUAAUACGUAGGGCGCAAGCGUUAUCCGGAAUUAUUGGGCGUAAAGAGCUCGUAGGCGGUUUGUCGCGUCUGCUGUGAAAUCCGGAGGCUCAACCUCCGGCCUGCAGUGGGUACGGGCAGACUAGAGUGCGGUAGGGGAGAUUGGAAUUCCUGGUGUAGCGGUGGAAUGCGCAGAUAUCAGGAGGAACACCGAUGGCGAAGGCAGAUCUCUGGGCCGUAACUGACGCUGAGGAGCGAAAGGGUGGGGAGCAAACAGGCUUAGAUACCCUGGUAGUCCACCCCGUAAACGUUGGGAACUAGUUGUGGGGUCCAUUCCACGGAUUCCGUGACGCAGCUAACGCAUUAAGUUCCCCGCCUGGGGAGUACGGCCGCAAGGCUAAAACUCAAAGGAAUUGACGGGGACCCGCACAAGCGGCGGAGCAUGCGGAUUAAUUCGAUGCAACGCGAAGAACCUUACCAAGGCUUGACAUAUACG
rnacentral:rRNA from 1 species